CAGACAAUAUUUUCAGAGAUCAUUUCAAUAGUUCGGUACUAGAGAAGUUUCUAUGAUCCUGUGAAGCAUCCAAAACUACAAGGAGAAGCCAGAGUGUUCUCUCUGAGUGUGAAGACUCUAGAUAUUGCUUUUACAACUUGCCUUUUAUUGCUGAUGAUCGUUCUUUUCUUCCUUUGGAAGAGCGUGAGCGAAAAAAUUUAGUCUGAGUGGU